rnacentral:lncRNA from 1 species
GUUUGACCAACUUACAAGCAAUUGUAAGCUUUGCCAAACAUGCACUUAAUAUGGAUCUCCAGGUAGGGGAUUUGUAUCUCUGUUCGUGAGAGUAAUCUCCAUAUUUUUUCUCAUACCGAAGGUUAUUUCUAGUAUAAUCACUUUGUUCGUCAGAAAGGGUAGCAUAUUCUUCGCCCAUUUUGAAUAUCUUUUGCAUUGUUCAGAAUCUGUUUGAUAUAUGCACUUUGUUCUUCAAGUUUGUGUUAGUUGAAUAUAUUUGUUCUUGUCACGGAACUAUUAUCUUUGUUAAGGUUUUGUGGGUGAAGUGCAUUUUGAUCGCCACUUAUGAUGUGUUUAUAACUUGCAUUAGGUUGUAUUCCACUUUCCUGAAUCCCUUCGAAAGGAUAACUUAUAUUGUUGGGUUGUUAUAAACAAAAGCCACGUUUUGAUUUGAUUAUACUAUGGCUUGUUAUGUUGUGAAUUCUGUCUUGACCUUGGACAUAGUUGAGAUGCUUCUCGACUUGACUUCCCAUUGGCCAUAUUUGUUUUACUUGUACAACCUGCAAUGAUCAUUUUGUUUUUGAUCCUUUAAUGUCUAAGUGGAUGGGGUUAGGAACUCAAAAUUUCUAGCGUGGCAGCACGAAGAACACCCUUUUUCGGCGUCCCCAUUACAAGAUGGAUCUCUUUGCAACAGAAUUUGAUGAAUGAAUUUGUCAUUUUUUUUCCUUUUCCCAUAAUUGAUUAUGUCUAGGUGAAGGGUUAUGAUCUCUCCUCUUGCAGUGUUGGUUUACUUAUUGAAGAAGGUGGAAUUUGAUUCUCACACACUUUUGUCUGGGAACCCGUCUGAAUAAAGGAGGUAUUAUUUAGGCAACCGUAUGCAAGUAUUUGUAGAACUGAUUUUGACGUCUUCAAUCACCAUUCCUCUCCUGCAACAAGAAUUUCAUUAAAGAAAGCUUUGUUAACUUUUCUUUCUUGUUUAGUAUUUCCGAGGGGUGAACGCUGUUUGGUUGGGGUGGGUUUUGUCUACUUUCAAGCCGAAUUAUAUGAGAAAAUUUCAAGGCAUAUCGAACAAUUUCAAUUUUGUGAAAUCUUACUAAAUUGGAACAUUUUUUUGCAGUUGAAUAUGGUUUCAAACCAUGGUUUUGGCUGCAUAGAAAUUAUAUCUUUUAAGCGCAAUAUGUUAAGGGAAUUGUCUUUUUUGAUGAUUUUGUUUAAUAGUGUUAAUUGCAUAUGAAGUUGAACGAGGAUGUACAUAAAAUAGACAGG